CCUACAUAUACCUAACUACACCUACAUAUACCUACCUACACCAAUUUAUUAUACCUGGUCUACCUGUUGAUGAUAUCGCUGAUGCAUAUUACUUAGUGACGAUGCUGAUGACAACACUAACAAUGAUGAUGAUGAUAAUGAUGAUGAUGAUGAUCAAAUCAGGAAGGAAUGCAUGAUGGAUCACAAGUUGGAUMRCAGGUCACACUCUGACGUCAUUGAAAGCCGUAUUAACCGAUGGUUGCGAAUUUAGAAGUGACUGAUACAUAUACAUCUUUGUGGAUAUUAUGUUAGUGUUAGGAUGAAAAGGCUUAGUUUUUUACCAGUUAAUGUUUUAGUUUUUUAAUAAACAAUAUGACAAUUAUGAGAUUCGUUAAUCGCAUUACGAGAGCAAAAAUCCUAGUUACCAAUAUGGCCGCCAUCUUGAAUUCUCUUGUAGUUUGUGAAAGAGACUAUGACAUGCACAGGCUGCCUGCACUUAUCGUGAAUUUUAUAGACUACACGGCUACGGGAACACUAUGAUUGCCUUUUUAUACUAUCAAUGUAAUUAAAGUACAUUUGGAAGUUGAAUAUAAAGGGAGCAUAAGUGUUCAUUAUGAAUAUUUUUGUAACAUUUGCACCACAAAGUUCAAUAUAAUUCAAUAUGGCRACCAUAUCGCGUGAUACCAAAAGAAAAAAAAUAAGUAUAUUUGGCUGUCAAUAGUAAUAACAAUAUCGAUACAAUCAUAAAAUUAUAAUACUUUUCAUAGAUCUGUCCACACAAAUGCGUUUGCAUUUUUUUCCGAAAUUUCGCUGACGAUUACAAAACGCUCGACCAGACGAGCCGAAGAUGUACGUAAUUUAAGACCAACCCCAGACCAAAGUAUCAAAAUACUUGUAAAGACUAAAUGCUAUAAAAAGGCGAACCAAA